rnacentral:rRNA from 1 species
CACGUAGGGCGCAAGCGUUGUCCGGAAUUAUUGGGCGUAAAGAGCUCGUAGGCGGUCUGUUGCGUCCGCUGUGAAAACUCGGGGCUUAACCCCGAGCCUGCAGUGGAUACGGGCAGACUAGAGGUAGGUAGGGGAGAAUGGAAUUCCCGGUGUAGCGGUGAAAUGCGCAGAUAUCGGGAGGAACACCGGUGGCGAAGGCGGUUCUCUGGGCCUUACCUGACGCUGAGGAGCGAAA